rnacentral:rRNA from 1 species
ACGUAGGGUGCGAGCGUUAAUCGGAAUUACUGGGCGUAAAGCGUGCGCAGGCGGUGAUGUAAGACAGAUGUGAAAUCCCCGGGCUCAACCUGGGAACUGCGUUUGUGACUGCAUCACUCGAGUACGGCAGAGGGAGGUGGAAUUCCGCGUGUAGCAGUGAAAUGCGUAGAUAUGCGGAGGAACACCGAUGGCGAAGGCGACACCCUGGGCUGUACCUGACGCUAAGACGCGACAGCACGGGGAGCGAACGG